UUUAAAUGAAGACCAGAACAAAAGAUUUAACGUUUAAAUUUAUAUCUCUACUUAAAUUAUUCAAACUUAUUUUAAAUGUAAAAAAACAUUUAUAUAAAAGAAAGACGACAAGACCCUAUUAAACUUAACUUUAGUUAAAUUGGGGCAAUUAAUUAAUAAAUACUUUAAUUUCUAUAAAUAAACAAAUAUGAUCCAAUCCAAUUGACUUAUGAUCAAGUUACUAUAGGGAUAACAGCGUAAUAAUUUUUUAAAGACCUUAUAUAAAUAAAAGUUUACGACCUCGAUGUUGAAUUAAUUACCUAUAUAGAGCAAUAGCUAUAAAAGGAAGUCUGUUCGACUUUUAAAAAAUUACAUGAUUUGAGUUCAGACCGGUGUAAGCCAGGUCGGUUUCUAUCUUCUAAAUAAUUCUUACAGUACGAAAGGGCCUAAGAAACUAAUUUAAUUAAUUAAUUGGCAGAAAAAUGCAUUAGAAUUAGAAUCUAAUCAAACUAUUAAUACUAUUUAUCCUUUCAUAUUUAUUAAUUAUCGUAAGA
rnacentral:rRNA from 1 species